UGUGUUUUGGUGACUAUAGUGUCCCUUUUAACUGCCCAUAUUUGUUUGUGACAACACUGAAAUUGUCAAACUAGGUCAUGCCCAUCAGGCAUGAAACAGGACUUUUGUCCAUUACUGUGUUAAAUUAAAAGUUACUUCCCCUCAAACCACAGGGGCUGUAGCGGCAGCGUAUGCUUCUGUAACCGUUCUUGGGCUUGAAGUCAAGUUUUAAAAAACAGAACCUGCAGCUGGGGACCAGACUCAUUACUUCCUAAAACUAACCCAGAAGAGGCUGACAAUGUCAGGGUGUUAUUGGCCUUGCAUGAUCCAGCAGCUGGCAGCAAUGUUAACAGUGGAUGCACACGUUAAUCCAGCAUUUACUCACAGUGUUUAGCAUGGCUACAGAGACUCCGAUUGGACCUUUGGAAACUAUUGUUAAUAUAUUACAGAUCAAGGCUGAAUCAGAAUUAAAAAAUCCUAGUGAACACUGGGAGCAAUAUGCACAUUCUGUAAGGCGCCCGCCUUACUUUGCUACAAUUUAUCAUCUUUAGCUCAUCCAAAAUAGCAUUCUGUCUGAAUAUUGUCAUGCACAGAUAAUGCAUGUAUUAGAGCUGUCCAAAAGGUAGAUCCCAAGAGGUUUCAAAACUACAGCUUCCAUGAUGCUUUGUCAUUUUAAAGGCAUUUAUAACAUCAUGGGAGUUGUAGUUCUACAGCAUCUGGGGAUCUGCCUCUUUUGGGGGCCCCCUGAUGUAGACCAUGAAGUGUAACGUAAAAUGGGUUCACAAUGCAAUUUACAUGGUUCACAUGAAUGUACGGACUGACAUCUGACAGCAGAGCCAGAUUAAUAUUGCCCAUGGCAGGAUUCCUAUCUGAGACCCCCUCCUGGAGCGCUGGAUUUCUGAGUGUUAUAUGUGUGGAGGAAGCUGGGCUUUAUAGGAGGAGGCUUAGUGUGCCUGGUUGAGCUCUGUGUGUUGUUUUCACAGUUUGUGCCUAGGAGUGUCUGAGGGAAAUUAUUUAAUUUGUCAUCCAAAUACUUACCAUUUGACAGGAGGGAUGUAAUCCAGAGUGGUCCAGUGGGGACACACUGAGGCACUGGAUUCCUGGUGGUCCAGUGGAAGAGUGACAUUCGGCACUCCAGAUGUUGUAGGCUACAUCUCCCCAGGUACCAGCGCUGCGGAAAUUGUUGGCGCUUUAUAUAUAAUAAGCUUUAUAGCAGAUACUGUCAACAUCUGCCC